GUGUGUGUAUGUUAGUGUGUAUGUUAAUGUUAGUGUAUGUAUGUUAGUGUGUGUGUGUGUCUGUUAGUGUGGAUGUCUGUUAGUGUGGAUGUCUGUUAGUGUGUGUGUUUGCCUGUUAGUGUGUGUGUGUGUGUUUGCCUGUGAGUGUGUGUGUCUGUUAGUGAGUGUGUGAGUGUGUGUCUGUUAGUGACUGUGUGUUUCUGUUAGCUAG